rnacentral:rRNA from 5 species
GAGACCUCAGGUCAGGCGGGGCUACCCGCUGAAUUUAAGCAUAUCAAUAA